GAACAACGCUGGCGGCGUGCCUAACACAUGCAAGUCGAACGCGAAAAUCGGCUUCGGCCGAUGAGUAAAGUGGCGCACGGGUGAGUAACGCGUGGAUAAUCUACCCUUCAGUUGGGAAUAACUUAUCGAAAGGUGAGCUAAUACCGAAUAAAACUGCCUGACCACGGUCGGGUAGUCAAAGAUAGCCUCUGCUUGCAAGCUUUCGCUGAAUGAUGAGUCCGCGUACCAUUAGCUAGUUGGUAAGGUAACGGCUUACCAAGGCUUUGAUGUUUAGGGGUCCUGAGAGGGUGGUCCCCCACACUGGUACUGAGACACGGACCAGACUCCUACGGGAGGCAGCAGUGAGGAAUAUUGGUCAAUGGGCGCAAGCCUGAACCAGCCAUCCCGCGUGCAGGAAGACGGCGCUAUGCGUUGUAAACUGCUUUUCCAGGGAGAGAAACUUGCGCACGUGUUGCGCAAUUGACGGUACCCUGGGAAUAAGCAUCGGCUAACUCCGUG
rnacentral:rRNA from 1 species